rnacentral:sRNA from 1 species
GGCCUAAACUCUACGGGAACUCCGCUGAGCAUGGCUUAAAAGACCCUUGGAAGACACUGAACCCCGCGUUCAGCGACUCUUCCAAGGGUCAUAUCGGGAAACCGGUAUGUGGCCGCAAGGCCU